rnacentral:lncRNA from 1 species
UCUGGCAGCACUUUGUUCUUCUGUCUCCCCCUUCUGUUUCUACACCUACUUGCGUAUUACCUGCAUAGCUGGCCUCUAGACCAUCCUUGGUGCUUCCUGCACCAUGGCUCCUUCUCUGUCAAGGAAUGAGAAGAGCACCCCCUGAACCUAACACCCCCCUACUCCAGAUCUUCCCACCUGUGUCUCAGAGAGGACACAAGCAGGGGGAGCAGCAGACAGAAGACAAGGGGGAAGCAGGCUCCCCACUGAGCAAGGAGCUGGAUGAGGAACUUGAUCCCAGGACCGUGGGAUCAUGACCUAAGCCGAAGGCAGACAACGGACUGAGCCACCCAGGCAUCCCAGGAGGGUUUUGUUU